CACCAGGUUGAUUCUGCCUGACGUAUGCGCUUGUCUUGAAGAUUUAGCCAUGCAAGCUUGCGAAGCAUUUUGUGGAGCGGCGGACAGCUCAGUAAUACAGUUAUAAUUAACUCGCGGUGCAUAUACGGAUAACCUUGGUAAGCUAAGGCUAAUACGUGGACAGGUUAUUGAAUUGAGGAAACAAUAAUAACUAAGAGAAAUCUACCGCGACUAAGUUUCUGGCCUAUUAGCUAAAUUGUAGGGUAAUGGCCUACCAUGGCGAUGAUGGGUAACGGAGAAUCAGUGUUUGAUUCCGGAGAGGGAGCCUGAGAAAUAGCUCCCACGUCCAAGGACGGCAGCAGGCGCGAAAAUUACCCAUUUCCUUAACGGGAGAGGUAGUGAAGAGACAUGAAGUUCUACUUAGAGACUGUACAGUAAAUAAGUACAGGAUCGACUGGAGGGCAAGUCUGGUGCCAGCAGCCGCGG
rnacentral:rRNA from 1 species